rnacentral:misc_RNA from 1 species
UCACUUAGUUGCCAACCCAGUAGAUUGUCUGAUAGAGAACGCGAGAAUAUUUCAGGACUCGAGCGCUCGAUAGACGUCGCGAAUAUUCGAACGAUAAUAUUUGUUGAUUCGGCGAACGUUGUUUUAACCAAGUUAAAAUUUGUAUUCUAGUUAUUGCGUACUAAAAAAUGUAUUUUAUAUAAUUCUGAUAAUCGUUUCUUCUUUUUCGCAAACACUUUUGAAGCCCCCAUAGGUUUCCGGGGCCCGACGUUUACCGUGUCAUUAACGUCAAGAUAAAUCCGCCCCUGGAAAAUAGUAGAAUGUACUCUCAAUGCAAGAUCAAAGGAAAAUCCACUUCGUUGGUAGCUAUUUGGGAAUCGUGGCCAGCUUUUGUUUGUCGAGGUAAACGCGAUGCGAACAGAAGAAGGAAUGUUCCAACUGGAAUAAAGAUAAGCAAACAAUUUUGGCAUUGUAGGAUAAUUAGACUGGAUUCAUGGGACAUGGGAAUGUGCAAAAUGCAUAAAAUAUCCAA